GCUGGGCGCAGUGGCACAUGCCUGUAAUCCCAGCAGCUCAGGAGGCUGAGACAGGAGGAUUGUGAGUUCAAACCAGGUUCAGCAAAACGUGAGGCACUAAGCAACUCAGUGAGACCCUGUCUCUA
rnacentral:sRNA from 1 species